GCAGUGGGGAAUAUUGCACAAUGGGCGCAAGCCUGAUGCAGCAACGCCGCGUGAGGGACGAAGGCCUUCGGGUUGUAAACCUCUUUUAGUAGGGAAGAAGCGACUGGGUUUUCCUGGGAGUGACGGUACCUGCAGAAAAAGCACCGGCUAACUACGUGCCAGCAGCCGCGGUAAUACGUAGGGUGCAAGCGUUGUCCGGAAUUAUUGGGCGUAAAGAGCUCGUAGGCGGUUUGUCGCGUCUGCUGUGAAAACCCGAGGCUCAACCUCGGGCCUGCAGUGGGUACGGGCAGACUAGAGUGCGGUAGGGGAGAUUGGAAUUCCUGGUGUAGCGGUGGAAUGCGCAGAUAUCAGGAGGAAUACCAAUGGCGAAGGCAGAUCUCUGGGCCGUAACUGACGCUGAGGAGCGAAAGCAUGGGGAGCGAACAGGAUUAGAUACCCUGGUAGUCCAUGCCGUAAACGUUGGGAACUAGAUGUGGGGACCAUUCCACGGUCUCCGUGUCGCAGCUAACGCAUUAAGUUCCCCGCCUGGGGAGUACGGCCACAAGGCUAAAACUCAAAGGAA
rnacentral:rRNA from 1 species